ACGAACGCUGGCGGCGUGCUUAACACAUGCAAGUCGAACGGUGAAGCGCCUUCCCUUUUGGUGGGUGUGGAUGAGUGGCGAACGGGUGAGUAACACGUGAGUAACCUGCCCCCUUCUUCUGGAUAACCGCAUGAAAGUGUGGCUAAUACGGGAUAUUCUGGGUCUGUCGCAUGAUGGGUCUGGGAAAGAUAUUGUUUCGGUGGGGGAUGGGCUCGCGGCCUAUCAGCUUGUUGGUGGGGUGAUGGCCUACCAAGGCGGUGACGGGUAGCCGGCCUGAGAGGGUGGACGGUCACACUGGGACUGAGACACGGCCCAGACUCCUGCGGGAGGCAGCAGUGGGGAAUAUUGCACAAUGGGCGCAAGCCUGAUGCAGCGACGCCGCGUGAGGGAUGGAGGCCUUCGGGUUGUGAACCUCUUUCGCCAGUGAAGCAGGCCUGCCUCGUUUGUGGGUGGGUUGACGGUAGCUGGAUAAGAAGCGCCGGCUAACUACGUG
rnacentral:rRNA from 1 species